ACUGAACGCUGGCGGCAGGCUUAACACAUGCAAGUCGAGCGGAGAUGAGGUGCUUGCACCUUAUCUUAGCGGCGGACGGGUGAGUAAUGCUUAGGAAUCUGCCUAUUAGUGGGGGACAACAUUCCGAAAGGAAUGCUAAUACCGCAUACGUCCUACGGGAGAAAGCAGGGGAUCUUCGGACCUUGCGCUAAUAGAUGAGCCUAAGUCGGAUUAGCUAGUUGGUGGGGUAAAGGCCUACCAAGGCGACGAUCUGUAGCGGGUCUGAGAGGAUGAUCCGCCACACUGGGACUGAGACACGGCCCAGACUCCUACGGGAGGCAGCAGUGGGGAAUAUUGGACAAUGGGGGGAACCCUGAUCCAGCCAUGCCGCGUGUGUGAAGAAGGCCUUAUGGUUAUAAAGCACUUUAAGCGAGGAGGAGGCUACUGAGACUAAUACUCUUGGAUAGUGGACGUUACUCGCAGAAUAAGCACCGGCUAACUCUGUGCCAGCAGCCGCCGUAACAC
rnacentral:rRNA from 1 species